CCCAACCGGGGAACUGCGCUUGAAACUGCCGGGCUUGAGUGCGAUAGGGGUGUGCGGAACUUCCAGUGGAGCGGUGAAAUGUGUUGAUAUUGGAAGGAACACCGGUGGCGAAAGCGGCACACUGGGUCGCAACUGACGCUGAGGCACGAAAGCCAGGGGAGCGAACGGGAUUAGAUACCCCGGUAGUCCUGGCUGUAAACGUUGGGCACUAGACGGGAGGCGCUUCGGCGCAUCCGGUUGUAGCGAAAGCAUUAAGUGCCCCGCCUGGGGAGUAUGGUCGCAAGGCUGAAACUCAAAGGAAUUGACGGGGGCUCACACAAGCGGUGGAGCAUGUGGCUUAAUUCGAGGCAACGCGAAGAACCUUAUCCUGGGUUUGACAUGCACGGAUUAACCCUGUAAAAGCAGGGCCACGCCUUCGGGUGGAACG
rnacentral:rRNA from 1 species